GGAUGUAAAUGCCUAAUCAUCAACUCUGGCAAUUUGGAGGUGACUGAGACCAUGCAGGACGGAGGACAGUCAACAGGAGCGGCGGCGUCAAUCUUCGAUGACUGCUAUCACUAUGCUUGUGAUUUUAUCAUGACUAAAUUCGAACAUUGUAAUAGAGAGGCAAAUAAAGUAGCACAUGAACUUUCCAGAUUAGCUAGAUUUUUUUCGACUUCGGAUUGGUUUGAGGAGCCUAUUAGUGAAAUUUUAAUGUUUCUCACAAACGAUGUAGUGGUUAUUGCUAAUGAAUAA
rnacentral:rRNA from 1 species